UGAUAACAACGGAGAAUUGUAUAAAACAUAUACCUCUCCCAGAGAGCUUUCAUCCCCAAACUAUCAUUUUACGACUUCGAAUAAUACACUGACUAAAGCAUUUACCUGUUCACUGACUAGCGCUUCUACAAACACAAGUAUAGCAUUAUCACUGUGUGAAGUAGAGGCUUAUGCCGAAUGCAAUGAAGGAACUUGGGGUGUACAUUGUCAAAACACUUGCAAUAAAAGCUGCCCAGACCUAUGCCGGUUUGAUGAUGGUCUGUGUAGUAACAGUUGUUUCGGAUACAGUGACCCACCAAUAUGUAAGAAAGCAUGUGAAUCAGGCACCUGGGGUAUAAACUGCACAAAGCUAUGCAGAAAGCAAUGUCUCAAUUCAUCAUGUGACAGUAAAACUGGAGUGUGUGACCAAGGAUGUGUUGGAUACAGUUAUCCACCAG
rnacentral:sRNA from 1 species